AAGAAAGAGGGAAGAGGCGCGGAAGGGCCUGACAAUUUAAUAUGUUACACAUAAACUUGUUGCCAGUAUAGCUAGAAAGUUGAAUUUUUAAUAAUAUGACAGUUAUUACUUGUAUGUAAAAUUAGAGGAGAUGCAAAUACGGAAUAUUUCGAAAACAUCGAAUAUCGAGUUUGCCCACGAUCAUCAGAACUGAUGAAAUUACGGGGAGAAUUAUCAUGAGCCUAAAUAAUGAGGAAUACAAAAAAGAACAGUCCAAGCACCUCAAUGUCAUGUAGGUAACGAAUACAAAAUUACUGCACAAUGUGAAAAUUGCUUUGAUUGCCCUUCAAGAUCAAGAUCUUAAAAGAGAAACCACAAAAA